GUCGGCAUAGCUCAGCUGGGAGAGCGUUAGACUGAAGAUCUAAAGGUCAGGUGUUCGAUCCACCUUGCUGACA
rfam:Lichtheimia corymbifera JMRC:FST:9682, FST 9682, WGS project CBTN01000000 data, contig: SCAF00029